rnacentral:tRNA from 1 species
GGGCGAUUAGCUCAGUUGGUUAGAGUGCUGGUUUCACAUACCAGAGGUCACUGGUUCAAUUCCAGUAUCGCCCACCA